GAACGCUAGCGACAGGCUUAACACAUGCAAGUCGAGGGGCAGCGGGGGUAGCGAUACCCGCCGGCGACCGGCGCACGGGUGAGUAACGCGUAUGCAACUUGCCUAUCAGAGGGGGAUAACCCGGCGAAAGUCGGACUAAUACCGCAUGAAGCAGGGGCCCCGCAUGGGGAUAUUUGCUAAAGAUUCAUCGCUGAUAGAUAGGCAUGCGUUCCAUUAGGCAGUUGGCGGGGUAACGGCCCACCAAACCGACGAUGGAUAGGGGUUCUGAGAGGAAGGUCCCCCACAUUGGUACUGAGACACGGACCAAACUCCUACGGGAGGCAGCAGUGAGGAAUAUUGGUCAAUGGCCGAGAGGCUGAACCAGCCAAGUCGCGUGAGGGAUGAAGGUUCUAUGGAUCGUAAACCUCUUUUAUAAGGGAAUAAAGUGCGGGACGUGUCCCGUUUUGUAUGUACCUUAUGAAUAAGGAUCGGCUAACUCCGUGCCAGCAGCCGCGGUAAUACGGAGGAUCCGAGCGUUAUCCGGAUUUAUUGGGUUUAAAGGGUGCGUAGGCGGCCUUUUAAGUCAGCGGUGAAAGUCUGUGGCUCAACCAUAGAAUUGCCGUUGAAACUGGGGGGCUUGAGUAUGUUUGAGGCAGGCGGAAUGCGUGGUGUAGCGGUGAAAUGCAUAGAUAUCACGCAGAACCCCGAUUGCGAAGGCAGCCUGCCAAGCCAUUACUGACGCUGAUGCACGAAAGCGUGGGGAUCAAACAGGAUUAGAUACCCUGGUAGUCCACGCAGUAAACGAUGAUCACUAGCUGUUUGCGAUACACUGUAAGCGGCACAGCGAAAGCGUUAAGUGAUCCACCUGGGGAGUACGCCGGCAACGGUGAAACUCAAAGGAAUUGACGGGGGCCCGCACAAGCGGAGGAACAUGUGGUUUAAUUCGAUGAUACGCGAGGAACCUUACCCGGGUUUGAACGCAUUCGGACCGAGGUGGAAACACCUUUUCUAGCAAUAGCCGUUUGCGAGGUGCUGCAUGGUUGUCGUCAGCUCGUGCCGUGAAGUGUCGGCUUAAGUGCCAUAACGAGCGCAACCCUUGCCACUAGUUACUAACAGGUAAAGCUGAGGACUCUGGUGGGACUGCCAGCGUAAGCUGCGAGGAAGGCGGGGAUGACGUCAAAUCAGCACGGCCCUUACAUCCGGGGCGACACACGUGUUACAAUGGCGUGGACAAAGGGAGGCCACCUGGCGACAGGGAGCGAAUCCCCAAACCACGUCUCAGUUCGGAUCGGAGUCUGCAACCCGACUCCGUGAAGCUGGAUUCGCUAGUAAUCGCGCAUCAGCCAUGGCGCGGUGAAUACGUUCCCGGGCCUUGUACACACCGCCCGUCAAGCCAUGGGAGCCGGGGGUACCUGAAGUCCGUAACCGAAAGGAUCGGCCUAGGGUAAAACUGGUGACUGGGGC
rnacentral:rRNA from 1 species